AUCUCUGUAGAGUCUGCAUAUCAAUAAGCGGAGGAAAAGAAACUAACUAGGAUUCCCUCAGUAACGGCGAGUGAAGCGGGAAGAGCUCAAAUUUGAAAUCUUCAAGGUUCUACCUUGACGAAUUGUAGUUUAAAGAAGUGUUUUCUGUUGGAGUUUUGGCAAAAGUUCUUUGGAAUAGGACAUCAUAGAGGGUGAGAAUCCCGUAUUUGACCAUUAUUUCCAACUUUGUGAUACACUUUCAAAGAGUCGGAUUGUUUGGGAAUGCAGUCCAAAAUGGGUGGUAGAUUUCAUCUAAAGCUAAAUACUGGCGAGAGACCGAUAGCGAACAAGUACCGUGAGGGAAAGAUGAAAAGAACUUUGAAAAGAGAGUUAAACAGUACGUGAAAUUGUCAAGAGGGAAGCGUUUGACACCAGUGUUGUUUUCUCGAAAAUCAAUUAAAAUAAUGGGGAUUUUGUGUUGUAUUGACCUUAAAAGCUUUCUUCACUUUUUUCAUGUUUAUUUUUAAUGCACUUUUCGUUUAACAAGUCAACAUCAAUUCUCUUUUGUUGUAAAAGGUCAUUGGAAGGUGGCUUUCUUUUCGGAGAAAGUGUUUAUAGCCUUUGACUCCUGCAAUCGGAGAGACUGAGGUCUGCAGCGUAGAUCCUUCUGGGAUUAGAUGCAUUUGUGCUAAGUUAUAGCCUUUUCAUAGACAACUUGUUGACUAUGAUUAGUCAUUGUAGCUUACUCGCUUAUGUAAUUUUACCUACGCUUAGGAUGUUGAUCUCUCACAGUCGAGC
rnacentral:rRNA from 1 species